rnacentral:tRNA from 1 species
GCCUGCGCGUCCGUAGCUCAGCUGGAUAGAGUACCUGGCUACGAACCAGGCGGUCAGAGGUUCGAAUCCUCUCGGAC